GGAGAGGUGGAUACCUGAGCUCAACCCUGGAGAUAUCAACCUGGUGGAGACCAAGACUGACACGCUGGGGAUCAGUAGCAGUAAGGUAACAGUGUUGGGUUACGGGCUGCUCACCACAGAUGCACGCUCCUGGUGGAGGCUCUGACCAGACAGAGGUUUAAUGUGGUGGUGGUGGAUGAGUCCCACUACCUCAAGUCCAGGAACGCAGCCAGGUCUAAGAUACUGGUACCACUCAUCCAGAACGCCAAGCGGGCCAUCCUACUGACGGGCACCCCGGCCCUGGGACGGCCAGAGGAGCUCUUUAUGCAGAUAGAGGCUCUCUAUCCUAGGAUGUUUGGA